UCCACUCAUUGCUAAUUGGUUUU
rnacentral:snRNA from 1 species